AGCAGCUAUCAAUAGGAUAAAUACAAUUUUAAUAUUUUCUAUUUGCUUUCAUAAUUUAUUAAAUUUGUAUAAAAACAUUAUCCAAGAGAUCAUAAAAUUCAAAUAAUAAGUAUUUGUUCAAAAUAUAUAGCAUAUCUUGAACGCAAAAUUAAAAUGUUUAUAGGGUUGCAACAUUUGUGAGUACUUAAGUAUGGGUAUAAUUUAUUUUUACAAAGGUCUAUAGAAACUAAAUUUACUUGUCAUUUGGAUUUUUGGACCAUGGCUAUGCCGGCCGCAUGGGCCUUAAAAAUUUAUUGUUGGUGGCUUUAAAAAGGUAAAACAACGUGAUUGUUUGUAUUCUUUUGACUAUAGUUUCCCAAUGGCUCAUCGUGUAGCAUUGGUAUGGGUAUCAAAUCAAAACCAAGAUACUGUGCUUUAAUUUGUAUAAAUAUGGUAUUUUCCCUUUAUUUGGACCUAUGGGAAAUUUUUUCACAGAUAUUAAAAAAUGCUUGUUUUUUAUAUUUUUUCCCCUGUCUUUUUAAGUUGACUCCUAAGUUGUUAUUAUCUUGACGUAUAUGUAUACAAAAAUAGAAUAAAAACGAAUGAAAUACAAAAAUAAAUUUA
rnacentral:lncRNA from 1 species